rnacentral:siRNA from 1 species
AUAAGAACUUAAACCGCAAUCGG